GUGUGCGCGCGUGUCUGUGUGUUUGUGUAUGUGUGUGUCUGUGUAUGUGUCUGUGUCUGUGUGUGUGUCUGUGUCUGUGUGUGUCUGUGUCUGUGUGUUUGUGUGUGUGUGUGUGUGUGUGUAUCUUAAUUGUAAGUAACCACAGAAUCUGCUCCAGUAGAAAAAGGGGAAUUACCUGGUAGACACAGCGAGGCUCAUGAAGUCCGAGGGCCAGCGUGCAACCCGGGACACAGAAUGCUCCAGAGCACAGACAGGAGGGUCUCUGCAGCUGGCUGUUCUCCGGUCUGGGGUCUGCUCCUGGCCGGCCAGCCUUGGUUGCUUUCCUGUGUACGUGGUAGCAGCAGUCGCCCCUCAGUACCAGAGUCCACCUCACUGCAGAUCUAGCUGCAACAGUUCAUGGUUUCUGAAUACCGAUUCCAAAUCCCAAAUGCCAGGAAGGCAAGAAUCUGGCUGCCCAGCUUGAGUGAGAUGGCCAUCCCAGCUCAACCAACUGCAGCCGGGGACUGGUGGCCAAGCAUGCUGAGACCCCCAUCUUCAUUAGGGGCGCAGAGUCUCAGAGGAAGGGACCGUGGUAAGCUGGGGAGAGGACCCCUCCACAAAAGGAUUAACCACAUGUGUGAAUCUGUCCAUGGAGAGUUGGACUCGACAAGCAACAGGCUUUCGAAUGAGGGAUGACUAGAUUUCUCAAAAUACAAUUCUCAGAGAUGAAUGUCCAUGAUAAAGAGAAGCAGAAUUAUACUUUAGAGGAACAGAAUAGACACUGAAUAGCUGUUUGAUUUACAGUCGUCCCCCCCUUAUCCACAGGGGAUACGUUCUAAGACGCCCAGUGGAUGCCUGAAACCAUGAAUAGUACCAAAUCCUACAUGUACUAUGUUUUUCCUAUACAUACAUACCUGUGAUAAAGUUUAGUUUAUAAAUUAGACACAGUAAAAGAUGAACAAUAACUAAUAAUAAAAUAGAACAAUCAUAACAAUAUACUGAAAUAGGACUUCCCUGGUGGUUCAGUGGUUAAGAAUCUGCCUGCCAAUACAGGGGACACGGGUUCAAGCCCUGGUCCGGGAAGAUCCCACACGCCGUGGAGCAACUAAGCCCAUGAGCCACAACUACUGAACCUGCGCUCUACAACCCGCGAGCCACAACUACUGAGCCUGUGUGCCGCAACUACUGAAGCCCGCGCGUCUAGAGCCCGUGCUCCACAAGAAGUGAAGCCACUGCAAUGAGAAGCCCGUACACCUCAACGGAAGAGUAGCCCCCGGUUGCUGCAACUAGAGAAAGCCCGUGUGCAGCAACGAAGACCCAAUGCAGCCAAAUAAAUAAAAUAACAAUAUACUGUAAUAGAAGUCAUGUGAAUGGGUCUCUCUCAAGGUAUCUUAUUGUACAAAUUGAAUGCCUUUUCUGUCUUAACUAAGCACUUACCACGUGCUGUGGUCGUAAGUAACUUCUGCAGUUUGAGGUGCGCCAGCAAAAUUAGCAGGGACUCCUUUUUCCUUCUUCACAAUGUCACGGAUAGAUCUGUUCUUACUGUAGAUCUUAGCAACCUCAGCAUAUGAUUUUUUUUUUUUCUCUCUUCUCAUUACAAACAGAGCUUUCCCCUUUUCACUUAAAGGGAGCACUUUCUUUGGUUGGCAUCCGAAUUGCCAGCACCAGCGCUUUUGUGCAUUGGGGUCAUUAUUCAGUAAAAUAAGGGUGACGAACACAAGCCCGGAGGCAUCCCAGCUGUUGAUCUGACACCGGUCGGCUCCUAAGUGACCAAUAAGCGGCUGCGCCCAACAAAGCGCUGAUUCACAUCCGGGCGGGAUUUAAAACCGCGCGAGAUUUCAUCAUGCUGCUCAGAAUGGCGCGCUCUUUAAAAGAUCCUUCAUACUGCAUGCCCGGAUGCUAUAACCAGAUUUCACCAGUGAGGAGGUGUGAUUAGCCUGGGGUCUCCACCUUCAACAGAGAUGCUCCAGAUAAACUCUUCUUUCAAGCAGAGUUUGAGCUACACCGCAGCUGCUGUGUGUUCAGCGACACGGCGCCCCCGAUGACGCCCUCCCUCUCCACAAGGACCCCAGGGGCCUGCAAGGCCAGACUCUGAGCUGCUCCGGAGAAGCAAAGGGCCCCUGUGUGACGAUCUGAAAUGUGUUCUCUCCUAAUCCCCGUUCAUCUGAGCUAAUCUCCAAAUGGACAACAUAAUCAAUUCAAGUAAUAAAUAUGGCUUAUUCAAAGGGCUGAAUAAGUGACUGGAAGCAAUUCCCCAAACUGUUUUCCACUGAAUAAUUGAAAUUAUGCAAGGGCAUGGAAAUUUUUCAACAAAUAAAAUGUCAGAAAAAUCUAUUAAAGAUAUGUCUGCAUAUCUUUGAAAAAAUUAUUUGUUUGAAAAAGCCCAACUCAGCAAUAAAAAAUAAAUUACGUUUCCAUUCUUGCUGUUGCUCCCUUUGGGAAAGAGCCUAUUACUACCACUUCGUGGACAGAUGGAACCAGCACAUUUCCGACUAAAUGGCUCUCCAGGUUAUAGCCAUGAGGUUGAGAUGACAGGAUGAUUCUACACUGAAAAAGAAAGGAGAAAAAAAUUCCCUGACUUCAUGUUGCUCAGAUAAUGUAUCUGCUGUUUGGUUUCAUCCAUGGAGGGUUUUGGAGUCUAAGUUUUCCAUCUGUGACUCUGAGUGACAGACAACUGUACUCUGAAAUUUUGGAGUUCGUUAGGGCCAUCUAGACCAGCCCUGUGGGAAUCAAAAGUACGCUGGAAUCCCUAUUUCUAUUUUCAUCUUAUCCAGAGCAGAAGGGCUCAGAGGAGAUGGCACCUCCAAAAAAUAAGCUAGAAAGUUGACCAAGGGGUGUAAUUUUUUUUUUUUGGCUGCGAUGUGUCUUCGUUGCUGCUUGCGGGCUUUCUCUAGUUGUGGUGAGCGGGGCUACUCUUCAUUGCGGCGCACGGGCUUCUCAUUGCGGUGGCUUCUCAUGGUUGAGCACGGACUCUAGGCGUGUGGGCUUCAGUAGUUGUGGCGCAUGGGCUCAGUAGUUGCGCCUUGCGGGCUCUAGAGCGUAGGCUCAGUAGGUGUGCCACACGGGCUUAGUUGCCCCACACAUAUGGGAUCUUCCUGGACUAGGGAUCGAACCCAUGUCCCCUGCAUUGGCAGGCAGAUUCUUUUUUUUUUUUUUAACAUCUUUAUUGGAGUAUAAUUGCUUUACAAUGGUGUGUUAGUUUCUUCUGUAUGACAAAGUGAAUCAGCUAUACAUAUACAUACAUCCCCAUAUCAGGCAGAUUCUUAACCCCUGGACCACCAGGGAAGUUUGGGAAUGUAACUUUUGAACUGUGAAUUUAGAGACCUUCUGAGUAUUUUCUCUCCAGUGUGAUGCAGCUUUGUGAAUCAGCUUCAAAAGUUGGUUGGGAAUAGGUAACUAAUGAGAACCUACUGCAGAGCACAGGGAACUCUACUCAGUGCUCUGUGGUGACCUAAGUGGGAAGGAAAUCCAAAGAAGAAGGGGUCUCUGUAUACGUAUAGCUGAUUCACUUUGCUGUACAGCAGAAACUGACACAGCAGUGUAAAGCAACUCUACCCCAAUUUAAAAAAAAAGAAAAAGAAAGUUGGCUGGGGUUGUGUUUCCAUCACCCUACUCCAUAUUGGUUUCAAAGCAGCUAGAUGGACACCUCUUUAAAUAAAGACCAUAUAGCUUAAAUCACAUUCUUUUUGUCUCCGUUUCUUCUUUUUCAACUCACUGCCUUUGUUGUAGCUCACAGUGCUGGCCUGGGUUUUGCUAACUGCCUCGGGCAGGGCAGGAUCUGUGUUUUCCUCUCUCCAGAUGGGCGUUAGCACACAGGGCUUGCACGUUUCUGCAGAACUGGGCUGACCAUGUUUACCUCCAAGCAGAUUCAUUGCCUGGGAAACUUGGAAUGGGGAGAGACAACCUCUCCUCACACUGAGUCCAGACCUCCUCCCCAUUGAGAACAGUUAGAGCUAUGCUUUCAUUGCUUAAAAGAAGCUAUUGCCUCUGACCCCAAAUUAAGGGGAAAAAAACCCAAUUGCCCACAUCAGUUGCCUGCUGCCCUGGAGGCAACUCAUGGCAAGCUGAAGUGGGAGCCGGUGGCUGAAGUCGAAAAACAGGACUGAAGCAACGGCAAAGGCUGCUUCCUCCAAACACAGAGUAAACUUCAACUACGGUGCCUGCCUUCAUGCUAUAUGUAAUAUUCCAAAGUAUGGAUAUUUUAACUAUUUCACGUUCUUAAGAGUUCGGCAAAAUGAGGCAUGAGCCGGUACAGAUUCUCUACAGAAGCCUCAAAGCUGAAAACGACAUGACCCAAUCACUCCCACGGUCUGCAGAUUUGGCCAAGGAGUUGCCAGACCUACGCAGGGCCUUCUCGGAGGUGGCCAGUUCAUCCUACGAACCUCGCCCCCCGCUCCACACUUCUGUGCUCCCCAGACGCUCCCACCCACUUCUCCUAAGACAAGAGAGAAGAGCCUUGAAGCUGUGAGGCUGCUCUGGGGCUGCCCAUAGAACAGAGCAUGGAGGGGAGUUCUUGGGAGAACUUGACACAAGACCUUGGGUGAGAGAAGGAAUUGUGAGCUUAUAGACCGGUACCUACUGCUUGCAGGGGAAAUCUGGAAGAUGGAGGUGAGUGGGGCCAGCCUGUGUUGUCAGGGCUAUGGGCUGCCUGCCUCUGCACCGCUUAGCCUGCCAAGGAUUGGUGAGUCUCCUGUGGACCAAGUGGAUGCUGUGGAACAGAGCAUCUGGUUGAAGAGGGUGGCUGGCCAGGCUACAGGUCUGGCCUGAGCUGGGAGAAGGGGAGAGACUUUCCGCUGCAUGUGAGAUUGGAUUUUGAUUUAUAUGGAGUCGGACUUUCCAGUUCCUGAAAGUGUUACCAGAUUGCUUUUCCAAGAGGCUGUAACAUUUCAUGCUUCCACCUGAAAGUACAAUUUCUCCACACCUCAACCUGCACCUCUAGAGGCUGCCCACGUUCCUUGUCUCCUGGCUCUCCUUCUCCAUCUUCAAAUCCUGCGGCGGUAAGUCCGUCUCAUGCUGCCAUCUCGCCGGGUCUCUCUUCUCCCUCCCUCUUCCGCUUCCAAAGACCAAAGUGAGUACAUUGGGCCUACCUGGAUAAUCCAGAUUCAUCUCCCCAUGUCAACGUCAGUUGAGUAGCAACCUCAGUUCCAUCUGCAACCUUCAUUCCCCUUUGCCAUAUAAAGUAACAUAUUCACAGGUUCCAGGGAUUCGGUCACAGACAUCUUUGAGGGGCCGUUAUUCUGCCACAGGUAACCAGGAGUAAGGGGGUCCAUCCGAGUGUCACAUUCAGUUAAUUGCUAAGUUUUAUUGAUAGUAUUUUGGAACUCCCAACAGAAACACCCUUACCUUUUACAUCUCCCUAGCUGUUUUCCUUACUGCCUCUCACAUGUAAUGCUUUUCUAAUACAUUAAUAGCUACAGAAGUCCAGCUUUUAGAAAGAGUAAAAAUGAUUGAGCCACUGAAGUGACCUGGGCAGGCCUCAUGGAGGGGGCUGGCCUUAGGGAAGAUGAUGAAUGUACAGGACAGGUUUCCAGAAGGGAUAUCUUGGGACAAAUGUAAAGAUUUCAAGUUAUUAGGAAUGGCUAGGGAUAGGUGGUGAGAAGAAAGGGUUGUGUUGGGGAAGCCACAUCAAGGAAGGGGAUGAUUCGAGAGGCUCCUGAGUUCCAGCCUGACUAUGGGUUUGUGUAAACAUACAGAUUGGCCUUCUGCAAGAGCGUAAGAUUGGGCCACGUCCUGGCCAGCCUGAUCCUGCCGGUGAGGAGGAACUGUGAGGCCCUGAUACUGCUCUGCUCUGCCCCUCAGACGUGGGAUGGAAAUGAAUCGUGAAUCUUCAGUUUCACCAAGAGCCUGCUUUGUAAACCAGUUUGAGGCCCACGCUCUUUGCAGCAUCUCAUUCAAAGAAAUUCAGGGUUUUCUCUUGCUGGCUGCCUCCAAGUUCCCAGGGUUUCACACAUUCUGCACCGGGCGGGCUCGCCAGGACAUCGAAGACUACUACCAACAGCUGCUACAAGUUUAAAAUCUUUAGAAGAAGGAACAGAUUGCAGUUUGCUCCUGAGGGUCACCACAGAGCACUGAGCAGAGUUCCCUGUGCUAUACGAGACCCUGGGUUGCUUGUUUCCGUAAAGGCUGCCUGUCAUCUCUUAUGGGACCUUCACGUGUCAGUGAUACCGGUUACCUCACGUCACAGCCCAUCAGUCGGCUUAUCUCCAGAAGAAUGUGAAAUUGCCUAACAAGCCUGCAAAUGUGAAGGGCUCCACGGUGGCUUAAUCACACAUGAUGUUCCCCUGUCUCAUCUGUCCCCAUACAGAGGCUGCACCUCUCAUUUCUUAGACAGAUACAUUUCCUAGAGCUGUGGCUGGGCUAUCCCAGUUGUGUGGGGUUUUAACCCCCAUUCCCCAAUUCCGGGGUGAAUUUCAUUCUGGAAGCCCUCCCGUGCCCUUCUCCCCACCUUAGAAUCUUUCAGUCAUCUCCUUCCCUAAAACUGAUCUGGGCAAUCUGGCAACAUGGCAAAAUUAUUUUAGCCCAGGCUUUUAACUGUGUUUGGAGUGAGUGAUAGCCUUGGAAACUUACUUGGGGGUAAUGCACACAUCCAAGUAUAUAUGUCCAGCAACGUUUGCCACUUUGGGAGGGUGUGUACUCCCUUGAUGUUCGCCCUCUUUGCAGAAUUCUCCUGCCAGGGUCUUCUAUAAUCCACUAGCUGUCAGCAGGGAUGGUUGUGAUCAAAACUGCCCCCUCCAAAAACGGUGCACAUUCUGUGAAGUGAAAGACAUCAUGAUGGAUGCAAAGAUGAAUAAAGUGAUGGUCCAGCCCUCAACAAGGCAGAGGACCAUACAUUGUAUCAAAGAAAUUUUAAAGGUAAAAUGACUGAACCCAAAGAGACAUUUUUGCUGAGAUGGGAUGAGCUGAAAAGAGAUGUGUUCCCUGAAAAUUUCUGAAGAUGUGACUGUGGAAGCCAAUAUGAUAAUACAGAAUGAAAGUCAUGUACUGCCAGCGGAUUUAGCUGUUUUCUCGCCAAAUGUUAUGUUUGUUAAGACUGAGCUAUCAUCAAAACAAAACAAAGGAGUCGUUCAGGAAGUGAGUUCGAAAUGCAAUCUGGUAUUACAUUUCUGAUAACAAGAAUAAA